AAAGGUUCUCCUUCUCAAUGUCUGUCUCGCCCAUGUUCAUUUCUUUCAAUGGCAAGAUGAAGAGAAGCAUGUUGAAAUGAGAGCAAAAUGAAGACGAAGAUACCUGCAUUGCCCCUUUGCUGGUGGUUGGAGCAGGCCAUGCUGCUUCUCUUUACAUUGACUAAUCCAUCUUCCCUUGAAGAUGUGGAAAGGCACCUGCAGAUUCCUGCCAUUUCCAGAACUAGAGAUCAACUGCUGUUUCAUCUAGCCUCAGUAGAUGUGAGCUGAAUCGUCUUGAUUUCAUCUCCUGGUUUGUGUGCUACCGAGGCCAGCACUGACCUGAAGUGUUUCAGAAUUCAUCUUUGCUAUUGUCUUAUACACCACAGAGCAAAAGGCUAUGAGCUUCAGAGGAUAUUGCCAGAACUUAAAAAAGAAACUACUCUGCAACAUCUUUUGAAGUUAAAGAAAACGUGAAAGAAAUAGGGUUUGAGACAGGAGAACUGUGGAAAUCUCACAAAUAAAUAAUGGCUCCCAGUGAACAGGGGUAAGGUUUUACCGUGAACCACCCUGUUGUUCUUGCCACUGAUCUCUUUGACUCGACCUACCACUGCCAACACCACCUGCUCUAAGUGA